UUAAGAAACAGUAGACAGAUAUAAAAUUUUUCUGUCCUAGGGCAAGGUAUUUCAGUGGGUUUUUUGUUUGUUUGUUUGUUUGUUUGUUUAUUACACUUUCUUUUAAGCUAAACUUAUCAAGAUGUCACCAAGCUGCUUCGCCUCUAAGAUGCUGGAAAAGUUUAGCUCUCACACAGAGAUAUUCAUCUUAGAAGUUCACAAAC
rnacentral:lncRNA from 1 species